rnacentral:rRNA from 1 species
CAAUAGCGUAUAUUUAAGUUGUUGCAGUUAAAAAGCUCGUAGUUGGAUUUUGGGUCGGGGGCACCGGUCCGCCGUUCCGGUGUGCACUGGUGGCCCCUUCCUUUCUGCCGGGGACGUGCGUCGCACUUAAUUGGGUGGCGUUCGGAGUCGGCGUUGUUACUUUGAAAAAAUUAGAGUGUUCAAAGCGGGCUUACGCUUGAAUAUUUCAGCAUGGAAUAACACUAUAGGACUCCUGUCCUAUUUCGUUGGUCUCGGGACGGGAGUAAUGAUUAAGAGGAACAGUUGGGGGCAUUCGUAUUUCAUUGUCAGAGGUGAAAUUCUUGGAUUUAUGAAAGACGAACUUCUGCGAAAGCAUUUGCCAAGGAUGUUUUCAUUAA